CCUACGGGAGGCAGCAGUGGGGAAUAUUGCACAAUGGGGGAAACCCUGAUGCAGCGACGCCGCGUGAGUGAAGAAGUAAUUCGUUAUGUAAAGCCCUAUUAGCAGGGAAGAAAAUGACGGUACCUGAGUAAGAAGCCCCGGCUAACUACGUGCCAGCAGCCGCGGUAAUACGGAGGGGGCCAGCGUAAUCCGGAUUUACUGGGUGUAAAGGGAGCGUAGACGGCAGUGCAAGUCUGGAGUGAAAGGCGGGGGCUCAACCCCCGGAUUGCUGUGGAAACUGUACGGCUGGAGUGCAGGAGAGGUAAGUGGAAUUCCUAGUGUAGCGGUGAAAUGCAUAGAUAUUAGGAGGAACACCAGUGGCGAAGGCAGCUUACUGGACUGUAACUGACGUUGAGGCUCGAAAGCGUGGGGAGCGAACAGGAUUAGAUACCCCAGUAGUC
rnacentral:rRNA from 1 species